UACGGAGGGUGGGAGCGUUAUUCGGAAUUACUGGGCGUAAAGCGCGUGCAGGCGGGCGUACAAGUCUGAUGUGAAAGCCCCGGGCUUAACCUGGGAAGGGCAUUGGAAACUGUACGUCUUGAGUGCUGGAGAGGAAGGGGGAAUUCCCGGUGUAGGGGUGAAAUUCGUAGAGAUCGGGAGGAAUACCAGUGGCGAAGGCGCCCUUCUGGACGGCAACUGACGCUGAGACGCGAAAGCGUGGGGAG
rnacentral:rRNA from 1 species